AGGAAGGUGGGGAUGACGUCAAAUCAUCAUGCCCUUAUGACCUGGGCUACACACGUGCUACAAUGGGCGGUACAAAGGGUCGCGAACCCGCAGGGGGAGCCAAUCCCAAAAAGCCGCUCUCAGUUCGGAUUGCAGGCUGCAACUCGCCUGCAUGAAGCCGGAAUCGUUAGUAAUCGCGGAUCAGCAUGCCGCGGUGAAUACGUUCCCGGGCCUU
rnacentral:rRNA from 1 species